GACAGAGGGUGCAAACGUUGUUCGGAAUUACUGGGCGUAAAGCGCGUGUAGGCGGCUGUGCAAGUCGGAUGUGAAAUCCCGUGGCUCAACCACGGAAGUGCACCCGAAACUGCGCAGCUGGAGUCUCGGAGAGGAAGGUGGAAUGCUUGGUGUAGAGGUGAAAUUCGUAGAUAUCAGGCGGAACACCGGUGGCGAAGGCGGCCUUCUGGACGAUGACUGACGCUGAGACGCGAAAGCGUGGGGAGCAAACAGG
rnacentral:rRNA from 1 species